rnacentral:rRNA from 1 species
AUGAGUCUCCUAUGCUGGAACUGUCAUGGGGCUGGCAAACCCACGACAGUCCGAGAGCUUCGUGAUCUAACGAGGCAACCUGCCCCCUCUAUAUUAUGUAUCAUCGAAACUCAAAUAGAGGUCUCUCGAGUAGAUAAUUUAGCAGGCUCUUUAGGUUUUACAAACAGUUUUGCAGUUAGUAGUUCUGGUAGAAGUGGUGAUCUUGGAAUUUUUUGGAAUGAUGAAAUAAAGCUUGUGGUUGAUGGUUACUCCAAGUAUCACAUUAAUGUAGUGGUUGAUGAUUUGGCUCAGAUAAAAACAAGGGUCACUGAGGGAGUCCUGGAUUAG